ACGCUAGCUACAGGCUUAACACAUGCAAGUCGAGGGGCAUCAGUUUGGUUUGCUUGCAAACCAAAGCUGGCGACCGGCGCACGGGUGAGUAACACGUAUCCAACCUGCCUCAUACUCGGGGAUAGCCUUUCGAAAGAAAGAUUAAUAUCCGAUAGCAUAUAUUUCCCGCAUGGGUUUUAUAUUAAAGAAAUUCGGUAUGAGAUGGGGAUGCGUUCCAUUAGUUUGUUGGGGGGGUAACGGCCCACCAAGACUACGAUGGAUAGGGGUUCUGAGAGGAAGGUCCCCCACAUUGGAACUGAGACACGGUCCAAACUCCUACGGGAGGCAGCAGUGAGGAAUAUUGGUCAAUGGACGCGAGUCUGAACCAGCCAAGUAGCGUGAAGGAUGACUGCCCUAUGGGUUGUAAACUUCUUUUAUAUGGGAAUAAAGUUGUCCACGUGUGGAUUUUUGUAUGUACCAUAUGAAUAAGGAUCGGCUAACUCCGUGCCAGCAGCCGCGGUAAUACGGAGGAUCCGAGCGUUAUCCGGAUUUAUUGGGUUUAAAGGGAGCGUAGGCGGAUUGUUAAGUCAGUUGUGAAAGUUUGCGGCUCAACCGUAAAAUUGCAGUUGAUACUGGCAGUCUUGAGUGCAGUAGAGGUGGGCGGAAUUCGUGGUGUAGCGGUGAAAUGCUUAGAUAUCACGAAGAACUCCGAUUGCGAAGGCAGCUCACUGGAGUGUAACUGACGCUGAUGCUCGAAAGUGUGGGUAUCAAACAGGAUUAGAUACCCUGGUAGUCCACACAGUAGACGAUGAAUACUCGCUGUUUGCGAUAUACAGUAAGCGGCCAAGCGAAAGCAUUAAGUAUUCCACCUGGGGAGUACGCCGGCAACGGUGAAACUCAAAGGAAUUGACGGAAGGGCGAA
rnacentral:rRNA from 1 species